UGGCAAAUAUAUCCAUUGGUUCCUCCUGCUCCACAGCUCCUAGUUAUGGACAGGCAGCGGCCUAUUGUGGAUUCAGUGUCAGCCUUGCACUCACUGUUUUACCCCAAAUUUUCCAAGUUUUAAUCCUCCACAGCCUUCCACAUAUAGUUCAGUAACUUGUGAUUUGUCCAAUUGCUAUCGAGCUCCUGGUAACAAUUUUCAAAGUUCAUGUUGCGCCUUCAAAGAAGGAUACAGCGAUGGCACCUCUGCAUCUGGGGUUUUGGGCAUUGAAAAGUGACUUUUGAUGAAGGAAUAAUAACAUCAGUACCCAAUUUAGUUUUUGGUUGUGCAAAUAGCGUGGCUGGUUUCGGUGGCCAGUGUAGUGGAAUACUUGGUCUUGGUGCUCAAAAAAUAUCUUUGGUGAAUCAACUGGGUUUCAAAUUUUCAUACUACUUUAUAAGGGAUCCUCGAUCAAUAUAUUCAUAAUCAGUUGAUUUUUUGGAAGAGCAAAAAUAGAAGGGUCUUCUACUCCAGUUGAUAAUUAUGGUGGCUUUUACUAUGUAACCUUAGAUAGCAUCAGCGUGGGUGAGAAAAAACUAGAUAUUUCGCCUUAAGUGUUUAAAGUGACUGAAGAGGGCUCAGGUGGAGUCAUUAUUGAUUUAAGGGCAACACUUAGGGUCCGUUUGGAUACAACUUAUUUUUACUGAAACUAAAAACUGAAAACUGAAAACUGAAAACACUAUAGCAAAAUAAUUUUUAAAAGUGUGAAUAGUACUGUGGGAUCUAUUUUUAAUAUUUUUUUUAUGAAUAGUGCACAAACAGUGCAUGAAUAGUGCCACUGAUGCGCACUGUUGGAUCCAGAAUGGUCAACAACUGCGGCUAGGAAAAAAGAAAAAGAAGAAGAAGAGGAAAACACGCAAAUAAGAAAACGUAGACGCACAAACAUGGAUCCAAACGCACAAUUACUUAUCUACCAAGACCUGUGUUCGACAAACUUAACGAUGAAGUACAAAGAUUGAUGAAUGGCAUGGUACAACUCAUGCUAGGAUGGGGCAGUUCAAUUCUGAUAGGCCAAAAAUGUAUUGAUCUCUUUGGUAAAUUAAUCAAUUAAUUAGCCAAGUGAAUCAAUUAGAUUCAAUUUACAUGCAAUUAGUGUGGUAUCAUAAACAAAUCAUCAACUAAGUUAAAUGCAGCGAAAAAUAAAUUUGACAUGGGUGAUUUGUUUACAAAUGGGAAAAAUCACUGAGGCAAAACCUCACCCGAUGAAUUUAAGCCUGAGAAUCCACUAUUAUCAAAACAAGUGGUUACAAGUAAAAGGAAUCCCAGUACCUAACAUCAACCUACAGUUGACCCUUUACCCCAAUACCCAAUUGGACUUGUGAUAUAGCGACAAUCUCUCCUUUCAAUGCACGAAUCCCAGUACGUGACUAACCAAUGAUGCAUGGGUCCUAGUAAGUGACUAACACACCAACUUGAGAAAGAUGUUAGUUGCAAAGUUUUUCAAUUCAUCCAACAAUGAAGAUCAGGAAGCUCCUUGAUCACAAAACCCUUGGUGCAAAGACGUACUAGCUUCUAAAGAGAAUAUGAUGAACUAGGGCAAAUUCUAUUUGAGUACUAGGUGCUACGGUGCUAAAGUAACCCAUGCCAUACUCCCUGGAAAAGCUCGAAUGACCUUCAACAAAAGGGUACCUGUACCCGAAACUGACACAGGUGGGUAGGUAGAGAAUACCUAGGGGUGUGAGAUAACUCUCUCUAAGGAACUCGGCAAAAUAGCCCUAUAACUUCGGGAGAAGGGGUGCCUCCUUACAAAGGGAAUUGCAGUGAUCAGGCCUGGGUAACUGUUUACCAAAAACACAGGUCUCCACAAAAUCGUAAGACCAUGUAUAGGGGCUGAUGCCUGCCCAGUGCCGAAAGGUCAAGGAAGUUGGUAACCUGAUGACAAGGGAGUCGGUGACCGAAGCCCCGGUGAACGGCAAUCGUAACUAUAACGGUCCUAAGGUAGCAAAAUUCCUUGUCGAGUAUGUUCCGACCCACAUAAAAGGCGUAACGAUUUGAGCACUAUCUCAAAGAGAGACUCGGUGAAAUAGACAUGUCUAUGAAGAUACGGACUACCUGCACCUGGAUAGAAAGAUCCUAUGAAGCUUCACUGUUCCCUGGGAUUAGUUUUAGGCCUUUCUUGCGCAGCUUAGGUGGAGGGUGAAGAAGGCCCCCUUCUUGGGGGGGGGGGGCUGAGCCGUCAGUGAGAUACCACUUUGGAAGAGCUAGAAUUCUAACCUUGUGUUAGGACCUAUGGGCCAAGGGACAGUCUCAAGAAGACAGAUUCUAUGGGGCGUAGGCCUCCCAAAAUGUAAUGGAGGCGUGCAAAGUUUUUCUCGAGCUAGACAGAGAUUGGCCCUCGAGUGCAAAGGCAGAAGGGAGCUUGACUAUAAGACCCACCUGUCGAGCAGGGAUGAAAGUCGGCCUCAGUGAUCUGACGGUGCCGAGUGGAAGGGCCGUCACUCAACGGAUAAAAGUUACUCUAGGGAUAACAGGCUGAUCUUCCUCAAGAGCUCACAUCGACGGGAAGGUUUAGCACAUCGAUGCCGGCUUUUUGCCACCUGGGGCUGUAGUAUGUUCCAAGGGUUGGGCUGUUUGCCCAUUAAAGCGGUAAGUAAGCUGGGUUUAGAACGUCGUGGGACAGUUCAGUCCAUAUCUGUUGUGGGAGUUAGAGCAUUGAGAGGACCUUUCCUUAGUACGAGAGGACUGGGAAGGACGCACAUCUGGUGUACCAGUUAUCGUGCCCACAAUAAACGUUGGGUAGCCAAGUGCAAAGCGGAUAACUAUUGAAAGCAUCUAAGUAGUAAGCCCACCCCAAGAUGAGUGCUCUCCUAUUUUGACUUCCCUAGAGCCUUCGAUAGCACAGCCGAGACAGCGAUGGGUUCUCUACCCCUACGGGGAUGGAGCAACAGAAGUUUUGAGAAUUCAAGAGAAGGUCACGGCGAGACGAGCCGUUUAUCAUUACCAUAGGUGUCAAGUGGAAGUGCAGUGAUGUAUGCAAUUGAGGCAUCCUAACAGAUCGGUAGACUUAAAC
rnacentral:rRNA from 1 species